CCAGACUCCUACGGGAGGCAGCAGUGGGGAAUAUUGCACAAUGGGCGCAAGCCUGAUGCAGCCAUGCCGCGUGUAUGAAGAAGGCCUUCGGGUUGUAAAGUACUUUCAGCGGGGAGGAAGGUGUUGUGGUUAAUAACCACAGCAAUUGACGUUACCCGCAGAAGAAGCACCGGCUAACUCCGUGCCAGCAGCCGCGGUAAUACGGAGGGUGCAAGCGUUAAUCGGAAUUACUGGGCGUAAAGGGUGUGCAGGCGGCUGAGUAAGACAGAUGUGAAAUCCCCGAGCUCAACCUGGGAACUGCAUCUGAUACUGGCAAGCUUGAGUCUCGUAGAGGGGGGUAGAAUUCCAGGUGUAGCGGUGAAAUGCGUAGAGAUCUGGAGGAAUACCGGUGGCGAAGGCGGCCCCCUGGACGAAGACUGACGCUCAGGUGCGAAAGCGUGGGGAGCAAACAGGAUUAGAUACCCGUGUA
rnacentral:rRNA from 1 species